GCCCCAAUCGUCUAGUCCGGUCCAGGAUAAAGGCCUCUCGCGCCUUUGACGUGAGUUCGAAUCUCACUUGGGGUA
rnacentral:tRNA from 1 species